GGAUCCAGACUUUGAUUCUGGCUCAGGAUGAACGCUAGCUACAGGCUUAACACAUGCAAGUCGAGGGGCAGCAUGAAAGGAACUUCGGUUCUUUUUGAUGGCGACCGGCGCACGGGUGCGUAACGCGUAUCGAACCUGCCUCAUACUCGGGGAUAGCCUUGCGAAAGUAAGAUUAAUACCCGGCGGUCUCGGAUGGCCGCAUGACUGUCCGAGUGAAGAUUUAUCGGUAUGAGAUGGCGAUGCGUCCCAUUAGCUUGUUGGUGAGGUAAUGGCUCACCAAGGCAUCGAUGGGUAGGGGUUCUGAGAGGAAGGUCCCCCACAUUGGAACUGAGACACGGUCCAAACUCCUACGGGAGGCAGCAGUGAGGAAUAUUGGUCAAUGGACGAAAGUCUGAACCAGCCAAGUAGCGUGCAGGAUGACGGCCCUCUGGGUUGUAAACUGCUUUUAGUUGGGAAUAAAAAGAGGGACGUGUCCCUUAUUGUAUGUACCAUCAGAAAAAGGACCGGCUAAUUCCGUGCCAGCAGCCGCGGUAAUACGGAAGGUCCAGGCGUUAUCCGGAUUUAUUGGGUUUAAAGGGAGCGCAGGCGGCGGCGUAAGUCAGUUGUGAAAUCGUGCGGCUUAACCGUGCAAUUGCAGUUGAUACUGCGUCGCUUGAGUGCACACAGGGAUGUUGGAAUUCAUGGUGUAGCGGUGAAAUGCUUAGAUAUCAUGAAGAACUCCGAUCGCGAAGGCAUAUGUCCGGAGUGCAACUGACGCUGAGGCUCGAAAGUGUGGGUAUCAAACAGGAUUAGAUACCCUGGUAGUCCACACAGUAAACGAUGAAUACUGGCGGUUGGUUCGUUAGAAUCAGCCGCCAAGCGAAAGCGUUAAGUAUUCCACCUGGGGAGUACGCCGGCAACGGUGCAACUCAAAGGAAUUGACGG
rnacentral:rRNA from 1 species